rnacentral:rRNA from 1 species
AUUGAACGCUGGCGGCAUGCCUUACACAUGCAAGUCGAACGGUAACAGGUCUUCGGAUGCUGACGAGUGGCGAACGGGGGAGUAAUGCAUCGGAACGUGCCCAGGAGUGGGGGAUAGCCCGGCGAAAGCCGGAUUCAUCCCGCAUACGACCCGAGGGGGACAGGGGCGGAGCGCAAGCCCUCUCGCUAUUGGAGCGGCCGAUGUCAGAUUAGCUAGUUGGUGGGGUAAAGGCCUACCAAGGCAACGAUCUGUAGUUGGUCUGAGAGGACGACCAGCCACACUGGGACUGAGACACGGCCCAGACUCCUACGGGAGGCAGCAGUGGGGAAUUUUGGACAAUGGGCGCAAGCCUGAUCCAGCAAUGCCGCGUGCAGGAAGAAGGCCUUCGGGUUGUAAACUGCUUUUGUCAGGGAAGAAAUCUUCUGAGUUAAUACCUCGGGAGGAUGACGGUACCUGAAGAAUAAGCACCGGCUAACUACGUGCCAGCCGCCGCAGUAACAC